rnacentral:rRNA from 1 species
GUGUCAGCCGCCGCGGUAAUACGGAGGGUGCAAACGUUGCUCGGAAUUAUUGGGCGUAAAGCGCGCGUAGGCGGCCUGUUAUGUCCGAUGUGAAAGCCCUGGGCUUAACCCAGGAAGUGCAUUGGAAACUGGCAGGCUUGAGUACAGAAGAGGGUCGCGGAAUUCCCGGUGUAGAGGUGAAAUUCGUAGAUAUCGGGAGGAACACCAGCGGCGAAGGCGGCGACCUGGGCUGAUACUGACGCUGAGGUGCGAAAGCGUGGGGAGCAAACAGGAUUAGAAACCCUUGUAGUCC